AACGGCCGUACCAUGCUGAAUAUACCGGUUCUCGUUAGAUCACCGAAGUCAAGCAUAUUGGGCGCGGUAGUACUCUGGGUGGGUGACCACCUGGGAACACUGCGUGCCGUU
rnacentral:rRNA from 1 species